rnacentral:rRNA from 1 species
GGACCCCGCACAAGCAGUGGAGCAUGUGGUUUAAUUCGAAGAUACGCGCAGAACCUUACCAACACUUGACAUGUUCGUCGCGAGACUAAGAGAUUAGUUUCUUCAGUUCGGCUGGACGAAACACAGGUGCUGCAUGGCUGUCGUCAGCUCGUGUCGUGAGAUGUUGGGUUAAGUCCCGCAACGAGCGCAACCCCCUACUUUUAGUUGCCACCAUUUAGUUGGGCACUUUAAAAGACUGCCAGUGAUAAGCUGGAGGAAGGUGGGGAUGACGUCAAGUCCUCAUGGCCCUUAUGUGUUGGGCUACACACGUGCUACAAUGGUACUUACAAUGGGAUGCGAAGAGGUGACUCUUAGCUAAUCCCUAAAAUGUACCUCAGUUCGGAUUGUACUCUGUAACUCGAGUGCAUGAAGCUGGAAUUGCUAGUAAUCG